rnacentral:rRNA from 1 species
UACAGAGGUCCCAAGCGUUGUUCGGAUUCAUUGGGCGUAAAGGGUGCGUAGGCGGCGCGGUAAGUCGGGUGUGAAAUCUCGGAGCUUAACUCCGAAACUGCAUUCGAUACUGCCGUGCUUGAGGACUGGAGAGGAGACUGGAAUUUACGGUGUAGCGGUGAAAUGCGUAGAUAAUCGUAAGGAAGACCAGUGGCGAAGGCGGGUCUCUGGACAGUUCCUGACGUGAGGACGAA